GAGUUUGAUCAUGGCUCAGAUUGAACGCUGGCGGCAGGCCUAACACAUGCAAGUCGAGCGGUAACGGAGAGUAGCUUGCUCCUCUGCCGUCGAGCGGCGGACGGGUGAGUAAUGCUUGGGAAUAUGCCUUAUGGUGGGGGACAACAGUUGGAAACGACUGCUAAUACCGCAUGAUGUCUACGGACCAAAGUGGGGGACCUUCGGGCCUCACGCCAUAAGAUUAGCCCAAGUGGGAUUAGCUAGUUGGUGAGGUAAUGGCUCACCAAGGGCGACGAUCCCUAGCAUGGUUUGAGAGGGAUGAUCAUGCCG
rnacentral:rRNA from 2 species